rnacentral:rRNA from 1 species
AUUGAACGCUGGCGGCAGGCCUAACGCAUGCAAGUCGAGCGGAGCUGCGGACGGGUGCGUAAUGCCUAGGAAUCUGCCUGGUAGUGGGGGAUAACGUCCGGAAACGGGCGCUAAUACCGCAUACUAUCAGAUGAGCCGAGGUCGGAUUAGCUAGUUGGUGGGGUAAAGGCCUACCACGGCGACGAUCCGUAACUGGUCUGAGAGGAUGAUCAGUAACACUGGAACUGAGACACGGGCCAGACUCCUCCGGGAGGCAGAAGUGGGGAAUAUGGGACAAUGGGCGAAAGCUUGAUCCAGCCAUGCCGAGUGUGUGAAGAAGGUCUGCGGAUGGUAAAGCACUUUAAGUUGGGAGGCGUUACCAACAGAAUAAGCACCGGCUAACUUCGUGCCAGCAGCCGCGGUAAUUC